UGUGUUAAAACACGGUUUGCGUCCGUUCUGCAGGUCUAACCAGUAUCGUGAUCAUUGUUGCANACNGCAAGGGCAGACCNGGAACACGGGGUUUAACCACAUCGGGUAGGCGGCUUUCGGCCGGUCUCCCCGACCCCCCGUCGGUGCGGGCGCUGGCGCUCGGUGACCGCUCGGGGCUAACAAACUCGGGCGGCGGGAAUGCGCCAAGGAAAACUCAAAGGAUCGGUCCGCCCCCGUCGCCCCGUUCGCGGAUUGUGUCGGGGGAUGGACGCCUGUCGUAAUACCAAAACGACUCUCGGCAACGGAUAUCUCGGCUCUCGCAUCGAUGAAGAACGUAGCGAAAUGCGAUACUUGGUGUGAAUUGCAGAAUCCCGUGAACCAUCGAGUCUUUGAACGCAAGUUGCGCCCGAAGCCGUCAGGCCGAGGGCACGUCUGCCUGGGCGUCACGCAUCGCGUCGCCCCCCUCCAGCGCUUCGGCGCUCGUUUGGGGGCGGAGAAUGGCCUCCCGUGCGCCCCGGCGUGCGGCCGGUCCAAAUGCGUUCCCCCGGCGACGCACGUCGCGACCAGUGGUGGUUGAUCAUCAACUCGCGUGCUGUCGGGACUAGAGGCGUUGUCCGUGCGGAGAACAAACACAAGACCCAAAGGGUGCAUUCAUGCGAUGCGCCUACCGACCGUCGACCCCGGAUCGUUCU
rnacentral:rRNA from 1 species